UACGAAGGGGACUAGCGUUGUUCGGAUUUACUGGGCGUAAAGCGCGCGUAGGCGGAUCGCUAAGUCAGGGGUGAAAUCCCAGGGCUCAACCCUGGAACUGCCUUUGAUACUGACGAUCUGGAGAUCGGGAGAGGUUGGUGGAAUUCCGAGUGUAGAGGUGAAAUGCGUAGAGAUCCGGAGGAACACCGACGGCGUAGGCAGCGCCCUAGACGAGACCUGACGCUCAGGCACGAAAGCGCGGGGAGCGAACAGG
rnacentral:rRNA from 1 species